UUGAUAUUUGAACAACUUCAUCAAUGAUAUCGACUUCCAGAACUCCUGGGACAAAACCAGCACCUAUUCCUUGGAUCUUAUGCGGACCUAGAAAAAGAUAGCCAAUAAAUAAGAUCACAUGUGCAUAGUACCAUACAAAUGCCUGCAGUUUGCAGAUCAAACCACUAAAGGUCAUUCCUUAUGCAUUCAUGCCAAGAACUUUAUGGAGCUUACUGCAUAGUCAUGCCUAAGUUGUUGAUCCUGUAGAAUAUGAAGCAACAGAACCGUGACAAGGAAUUAUCCAAGAGAUGCAUUGAAUUUAACAUAGCUCACCAGGUUUUCCUCCAGAUAAAAUAGGGCUUUCAACUGGUUCCACGCCGUACAACUGCAGAAAAAAUAAAGUAAGAAAACAAAUGAGAAACUGAGAGCAAUAGAAAAGCAAAAUUCUGAAACAGAUACAACUUACAAUUUGUGUACUUCAGUGGAUGCUUAUGAAGAAAUUUUACUGUGAAUUGACUUUUAUAAUAGAGGGUUAAUGCUACCUUAAUGCUUGGAUUAUGCUCUUUUAGGUAUUUCCCAGCGCCUGUUAUGGUUCCCCCAGUACCUAUUCCUGAAACAAGGGCAUCAACUUUCCCUCCAGAUCCUUUCCAUAUCUCUGGUCCUGUAGUUUCAUAAUGUACCUUUGGAUUGGCAGCAUUCUCAAACUGCUGGAGCAUAUAAGCAUUGGGAGUCUGGGCCAAAAUCUCUUCUGCCUUCUGAACAGCCCCUUUCAUG
rnacentral:misc_RNA from 1 species